AAGACCUUGCGCUUUUGGAGCGGCCGAUGUCUGAUUAGCUUGUUGGUAAGGUAAAAGCUUACCAAGGCUUCGAUCAGUAGCUGGUCUGAGAGGACGGCCAGCCACACUGGGACUGAGACACGGCCCAGACUCCUACGGGAGGCAGCAGUGGGGAAUUUUGGACAAUGGGGGCAACCCUGAUCCAGCCAUGCCGCGUGAGUGAAGAAGGCCUUCGGGUUGUAAAGCUCUUUCAGCCGGAACGAAACGGUUACGGUUAAUACCCGUGACUACUGGCGGUACCGGAAGAAGAAGCACCGGCUAACUACGUGCCAGCAGCCGCGGUAAUACGUAGGGUGCAAGCGUUAAUCGGAAUUACUGGGCGUAAAGCGUGCGCAGGUGGUUUUGUAAGUCAGAUGUGAAAUCCCCGGGCUUAACCUGGGAACU
rnacentral:rRNA from 1 species